UGAUUGGUAUAGCGCUAAAUAAAUAGAUUAGUUUAGGUAAUAUUGUCAUCUUUAUUAUAUUUGCUCGCCCUAUCCAAGAGCAUUUAAUAUUUUUCAAUUGGUUAGAUCAGACUUAAUUUGUGUGAAAAGUGGUCUGUAAUUUUGCUCAUAAAGUUUCUGAUUUUCCCUUGGCAGAUAGAUUCCUAAAUAUUUUAUAUUAUCAGUAGUUACUUUAAAUGGAAUUUCUCUUUGUAACUCUGACUGUUGGAUUUUGUUAGUGAUAUAUAAGAAUGCUGAUGACUUAUGUGGUUUAUUUUAUAACCAGCAACUUUGCUAAAGUUGUGGAUUGUUUCUAAUAACUUUUUAGCAGAAUCUCUGGGGUUCUCUAAGUAUACCAUCAUGUCAUCGGCAAAAGUGAUAAUUUGGCUUCCUCAUUGCCUAUUCUUAUUCCUUUAAUCUCUUUCUCAGCUCUUAUUGCUAUAGCUAGCGUUUCUAAUACAAUAUUAAAUAGUAACUGGUGAUAGUGGGCAACCUUGUUUCACUCAGAUCUUAUUGGAAUGGUUGCAGUUUGUCUCCAUUACAUAUGAUGCUUACUGAUGGUUUUAAAUAGAUGCUGCUGAUUAUUUUAAGGAAAAGUCCAUUUAUUCCUAUACUCUCAAGUGUUUUUAAUAGGAAUGGAUGUUGGAUUUUAUCAAAUGCUUUUUCUGCAUCUAUUGAGAUGAUCAUAUGGUUUUUGUUAAUUUGGUUAUUAACAUGGCCAAUUAUAUUGAUAGUUUUCCUAAUAUUGAACCAGCCUUGCAUUCCUGGUAUAAAUCCUACUUGAUCAUAGUGUAUUAUCUUGGAGAUGAUUUUCUGUAGUCUUUUUGCUAAUAACUUAUUUAAGAUUUUAGCAUCAAUAUUCAUUAGGGAGAUUGGUCUAUAAUUUUCUUUCUCUGUUUUCAGCCUACCUGGUUUAGGUAUCAGUACCAUGUCUGUGUCAUAGAAGGAAUCUGGUAGGACUCCUUCAUUCCCUAUUUUAUCAAAUAAUUUAUAUAGCAUUGGGGCCAAUUGUUCUUUAAAUGUUUGGUAAAAUUCACAUGUAAAUCCAUCUGGUCCUGGGGAUUUUUUCUUAGGGAGUUGUUUAAUUGCCUGUCCAUCAGUAAUUCUAAUUAUUCCAGUUUCCUCUUUUUCAUCGGAGAAUGGCACAAUCUGACUAAACUACAUCAUUUACUUUUAAGUGGGUAGAUUCACAAGACUCAAAGUAGGAACAAAUUAUUCAUUGUUUCCUAUUAUUGGGUCCCUUAUCCUUUGUUCAUCAGUCUACCUUCCUACAAUCCUCUUGAAGUUCCAUCAAACAGCUUUCAUUUCCUUUUUCAGAAAACUCUCUCUCCUUUCCGCCAGUAUUAUAGCUUAAAAAACAGCUCCAUUUUUUUUUCCAGAAGUCUUUUUUGCAUGGUUUAGUUCCUGAGACCCCUGACCCGGUAAUCUCCACUGGCUAUUUUUCUUCUCAUCUUCAUUACUAAACCAGGAGGAGCGUAAGUAACAGGCCUCAAACUUGUCAGUGAGUUAGGGGAGUAUUAUUCCCUGGUGGAAUGAGCAUAUGAGAAAAAUGUAUAUUCCAACAGCUAUGAAGGCCACUGAAAGAGUAAGAGUACUUGAGUUUGGUCAAACAUUAAAGAUGUCAAAAUCAUCCUCUGUCUCAGGAGAAUGUCAUUCAUCUUGAAUUUUUGUCUUGCCAGAAACUGGAAACUGAGUAGAUAUCCAUCAGUUGGAGAAUGGCUGAAUAAAUUAUGGUAUAUGAAUGUUAUAUAAAUGUUCUAUAAAAAAUGAUCAGCAGGAUGAUUUCAGAGAGGCCUAGAGAGACUUGCAUGACCUGAAGUUAAGUGAAUCGAGCAGAACCAGGAGGAGAUCAUUGUUCACGACAACCACAAGAUUAUAUGAUGAUCAAUUCUGAUGGACGUGGCUCGUUUCAACAAUGAGAUGUUUCAGAUCAAUUCCAAUGAUCUUGUGAUGAAGGGAGCCAUCUACACACACAGAGAAGACUAUGUGUGGUUCACAACAUAGCAUUUUCACUUUUUGUCAUUGCUUGCAUUUUAUUUUCUUUCUUAAUUUUUCCCUUUUUGAUUUGAUUUUUCUUGUGCAGCAAGAUAACUGUAUAAAUAUGUAUGCAUAUAUUGGAUUUAACAUAUAUUGGAUUACUUGCCAUCUAGGGGAGGGAGUAGGGGAAAGGGGGAAUUGGAACCUAAGUUUUGCAAGGAUUAAUGUUGAAAAAUUAUCCAUGCAUGUAUUUUGAAAAUAAAAAGCUUUAAUAAAAAGAAGAAUUUUGUCUUGUCAUUGGACUUCAAAGAUUCUGGAAGAGAAAGUGAAGCUGAUUCAUAGACAAGUCAAGACAUCACCUCAUGAUAUUAUUGUAUCUUUGAAAAUGAAUAGCUAUUGUUUUAUUGAUCAGAAUUAUUAAAAGUCAUUCAUAGUUGAUUAUCUUUAUAAAAUUGAUAUUACUGUGUAAAUGGUUCUCCUGAUUCUACUUACUUCACAUUGUAUCAGUUCAUACAAAUCUUCUGAGAUCUCUAUGAUACCAUCAUUUUUUGCAGCACAAUAUUAUUCCAUUAUAUUCAUAUAUCACAACUUGUUUAGCAUAAAUUAGCAACUUGUUUAGUAUAAAUACUUUUGUACAUAUGAGCUAAACAAAUUUAAAAAUAAAGAAUAACAUAAUCUACAAAGAUUUAAAGUUGAAGGUCACCCUGUGAACAAUGGAGAAGCACAUGAUGAACUUGAGCAGAAUGAAAAACCAGCAAGGAAUUAUUCAGGAUAAGAGAUAGAAAUGAUAUCAUUAGAGAGAUCAUUUUCUAGGGUUAGAAAAAAUGAAUUAGACAGGCCAUAUUUAGGGAGAGAAAGAUAAUGUCUGCACAACCUGUGUACUUCAUUACUACCCAUGGCAAUAUUGAGAAAUACGGAAGAAUGUCCCCAGCAUGUUGGGCAGAUCUCCUUUGGAAGAUUUACUAAUGGACCAAAGUCAUACAGAAUGGGCAGGGUGAAUGGUUUGCAAUCUGUAUUACUGAGGGAAUGCUCCCUGUGAUGCCAUCACAAAUCCAUCAAACUACUGAGGUAAGGACAGAAAGUAAUUUGGAGUCAGAUAAAUGCCAAGUUAAGGAAUUGGUGUUUUAAGCUAGAAACUAUAGAGAGAUACUAAGGUUUUUUUUUUUUAAACAAAAGAGUGACAUAUUCAGAUCUGUGUCUUAGGAAAAUUAUUUUGGCAGCUGUUUGAAGAAGUAAUUGAAGAUGGGGAAAUAUAGGUGACAGGGAAAUAAAUUUAGGAGGUUUUUAUAAUGGUCCAGGUGAGAGAUUAUACGUGUCUGAAUAAGAAGGAUAGCAGAAGACAGAAUAGAAUGAAUUUGAGAAAUGUUAUGGAGUUGAAAUUGACAAGUGAUUGGAUUUAGUAGGUUGAAGGAGAACAUUCAAAGAUGACUCUGAAGUCAGCUGACUGGGGGAAGGGAGCGGUGGUGAUGCUUCAAUGUGUCACUAUUUUGGGGGUUGUUCAGUUGGGUCUUCAUGGCCCCAUUUAGGAUGUCUUUGGGAUAUCACUGAUACAAUGUGGAGUAAGUAGAAUCAGGAGAACCAUUUACACAGCAAUAGCAGUCUUAUAAAGAGAAGUGCUUCUUGAACUCAUUUUACAAAUAAGGGAUCGAGGCAAGCAAGAUUAAGUGACUUGCCCAGGAUCACAUGGCUAGGAAAUGUAUGGGGCCAGAUUUAAGCUCAUGAACAUGAGUCUUCCUGACUUCAAGCUUGGCCAUCUAUGCACUGUACCAAACCCCUGAGACCCACCCUCGAUAGGGGUCUUGACUGUCUCACCUUGACAUGUCUUGCCAAAAAUUCCAGUCAUGUCCCUGAGGUUAAAUUUUCCCUAUAAAAUCUACUUAUGGGCCAUGGCUUUGCUGCUACCUCUGUUGGGUCAGUCUGCCACAGCACUCUGCCUCGGAGUGUCUUUCCCUUUUUCUUCUCCCAUGUCAUGUGGUAUCUCCCCUAACUCCACUAUGCUUCCCAACCCCACUUUUCUUUACAGCUAAUUAUUUUGGGGUGCUAAGUUCCUUUCAGAAUUUAGCCUGCCAGUUAAGAGCAUGGGGUACUCCCUUUCUACUGGGUAAUUGAGUUCCACUGAGGAACUUGUCUUUCACAUGCUUUCCCACUGUUUCAUAUUUACCAUUCCUGGUGUCUAUUAUAUUCCUUCAUUUUGCCUAUAACCUGUUCCCCUAAAAAAAUCUACCUUUUGCCUAAGAGAAUGGCCAUUGUGAAUUUUUCACCUCACUGAACCCCAACUUUUGGUGCUGCCAUCAUCUGGUGUCUACAUUACCCACAUCAUACAACCCCACUCUCACACCUCCCCUACACACAUACAUAUCCCCACACACAAUAUAUGAGGUCCAAACAGUUUUUUUCUUUUCCAGAAAAAAAAUCAAUAGUCCUUGGACUUAGAAGUGAAAAGAUAGCAAAUAUUUAUGUGAACUUGUUGCAAGUUAAUCUCUCCAAGAUUCAAUUUCCUCUUCUGUAAAUUGAAGGAGUUGGGCUUGAUGGCAUCUGAGGUUUUUGCCAGCUCUAUAGUUAUGAUCCCAUGAUCUGGUCUAGGAUGAGAGGGAGGAGCUUAGCCCAUGAACUUACAGCAUUAUGUCAAACAAUGAGGAGCGAGGAGAAAUUGUCCAUCUUAAAAAUUUAAGACGAAUGAUGAACAAAUAGUUACCAAGGCAAAUAAAUAAAUAAAUAAAGCAGGAGAAACUGAACCGAUCUUAAGAAUUUAAGACCAAUGAUGAACAAGGAAUCAUUUGGACAAUGUACAUUUUGUACAUAUGAGCUAAACAAACUUAAAAAUAAAGAAUAACACAAUCUACAAAGAUUUAAAGUGGAAAGUCACCCUAUGAACAAUGGAGAGGCACAUGAUGAACUUGGGCAGACUGAAAAACUAGCAAGGAAUUAUUCAGGAUAAGAAUGGCCAUACCCAUGCUUAUAUAACUAUAUGCAUUUUCUUUAUAUGUAUACAUAUGUGUGGUACAGUGGAUAGAAUGCCUGGCAUGGAGUCAGAAAGAUCUGAGUUUAGAUAUGGCCUCAGAUACUUCCUAGCUGUGUGACCUUGGGCAAGUCACUUAGCCCUGUUGGCUUCAGUUCCCUCAUCUAUAAAAUGAGCUGGAAAAGAAAAUGGCAAACUCCUCCAAUAUCUUUGCCAAGAAAACCCCAAAUGGGGUCACAAAUAGUCAGACAUGACUGAAAAUGACUAAAUAACAAGUAUGCCCACAUGUAUAAAGGAAAUAUACACACAAAUAUAUACAAUUUCAAUCGGCCAUUUUUAUAAUACUACAAAGUUCUAAAUGCAGGAUGUGGCAAGUAGCACACUGGUCUUGCACUGAGAGAACCUGAGUUCUCCGUGAUUUUGGACAAAUCACUAUAACUCUUUAAGUCUCAGUUUCCUCAUCUAUAGAAAGAAGGGUUUAGACUAGAUGACCUUCAAGAGCUUUUUCACAAUUAACAGGGUAUGAUUUAUAGCAGAAAAGUUAUUCCAGAAAAACCUGUUAAGAUUUACAUGAACUGAUGCUGAAUGAAGGGAAUAUUGUACACAGUGAUAAGAUUAUGUGAUGAUCAACUAUGAUGGACUUGGCUCUUUUCAAUAAUGAAGUGAUUCAAGGCAAUUCUAAUAGACUUGGGAUAGAAAAAGCCAUCCAUAACCGAGAGAAAACUAUGAAAACUGAGGUCACUAUAUUAACAUUACUUAACUGUUUUACCUUGUAAGAGACAUCUCACAAAGUGGGAGUAAUAUGUAAAUAUAUGUAACUUUAAAAAAAACGCACAUCAAUAAAAGUGACUAUUAUCUGCAAAAAAAAAGGAAAAAAAAAGAAAACUAUGAAAACUGAAUGUGGAUCAAAAUUUAGUAUUUUCACUUUUGUUGUUUUUUUUGCUUGUUUUUUUUUCUUCUUUUGAUCUGAUUUUUUUUGCACAGUACAAUGAAUAUGAAAAUGUGUUGAGAAAAAUUGCACAUCUUUAACCUAUAUUGGAUUGCUUGCUGUCUAGGAGAGGGGGGGAAAGAAGAAGGGAGGGAGUAAAAUUUGGAACACAAAGUUUUGCAAAGGUAAAUGUCGAAAACUAUCUUUGCAUGUAUUUCAAAAAAUAAAAAUACAAAAAAAGGGACAAGGAAGAGUCAAAGAUGGGUGCAAGUUAGUCUAAUAUGUAAGAUCAAUUUCUGGAGUGGGGGGAAAAGGGAAGAAAUGGUGAGAUCAUAGAAUUCAGAACUUUAAUAUUCCUUAUAUCUUACUCUAAUUCACUUAUUUUAGAUAUGAGAGGAUAUCUGAAUUACUCCGGAAACUACAAUCUAUACCUCUCUCUCUUCAUCCAAUGUGGGGUCAUAGUUUUUCAACUAUAUUUAUUAGGAAUCAAUUAUGUGUCAGGCAUUGUGCUAAGCACUGGGAAUACAAAGAAAGGGGUGGGGUGGGGGGAAACAUGGUCCCUGGACUUAAGAAGCAUACAUGCAAAUGGGGGAGAGAGCCUAAGUACAUGCAAGAUAUAUAUAGAAUAAAUGGAAGGCAAUCUCAGAAGGGAAGCACUAGAGGAAUGAGGGACAGAGACAGAAAGAUAGGAAAAUCCUCCUGAAGAAGACAGAAUAUGAGUUGUGUUUUAAUGGAAGCCAGGAAAUCUAGGAAGUAGAAGCAAGGAGGGAAGAAUAUUCCAGCAUGGAGAAAAACCCAGAUUCAGAAAACUGAUUAUCAUUUAUUAGCAUUAGCAAACAGAUUAUUGUAGCUAGAAUGUAGAGUACAGAAAAGGGAAUAAAUUAUAAAAAGAUUAAAAGGUAAGGGAGCGAAAAAAUAAUGAUGAUUGUUGGAGGGGAUGUGGGAAAACUGGGACAUUGAUACAUUGUUGGUGGAGUUGUGAACGAAUCCAACCAUUUUGGAGAGUAGUUUGGAACUAUGCUCAAAAAGUUAUCAAACUGUGCAUACCCUUCGAUCCAGCAGUGUUACUACUGGGAUUAUAUCCCAAAGAGAUUAUAAAGAAGGGAAAGGGACCUGUAUGUGCACGAAUGUUUGUGGCAGCCCUUUUUGUAGUGGCUAGAAACUGGAAACUGAAUGGAUGUCCAUCAGUUGGAGAAUGGCUGAAUAAAUUGUGGUAUAUGAAUAUUAUGGAAUAUUACUGUUCUGUAAGAAAUGACCAACAGGAUGAUUUCAGAAAGGCCUGGAGAGAC
rnacentral:lncRNA from 1 species